rnacentral:lncRNA from 1 species
CCGCCGUGCCGCAAGCCGACCUGCGCUGCGCUCACUGCGAGGCCGACUUGCCCUUCUGUCUCGCCACGGGACUUCAUAUCGUGAAAGAUGAUUUGACAGCCUGUCCCGAGUGUGAUUUCCUGCGAUUCUUACCGAGUUCACCGAAAUACUGAAAGAGGAAGGCAAAUGUCCCAUGUGCGGCGAAAAUGUCGACUACAGACGUCUAGUAAAGAUCGACGACGUGACGCUGUAUCUCGACCUUAAUACCAGUGAAUAAAGUUGUAUAUUGCGUGUAAUUUACUACCGAGAGUUAAGUAAGUUUUAGAAUAAGUGACGACAUUUAGUAAUGGUUUGUUAUUUCUUCAAUUUCAAGCAAGUUGUUGAAGACGUAAUUUUUCUAGUUUCGGGGCCAUGACAAUUGAUCAAUGUAAUACCUUUUUACGCACCCUUAGAACUAAGAUGAUUUAACCCAAAAAAGAUGAUGAAAAAUAUAAAAAAGAUUUGAAAACAAUGUAAAAGGCACUGAAUUGGGCGGUCGCGGUGAAUGUGAGGAUCUGUUUCUUUACUAUAAAUUUAUUUAUCUUUUUCGUCACAGGCUUACAGAGCUUGCUUUAGAAAGCUGUUUUUGAUCAAAAUCAGAAAAUAUAUAAAUUUUGAUUUAGGUCACUUUAGUUCUAAGGGUCCGAUAUGCAAAUGUUUAGUUCUAAGCGUUUUAAAAUAGGCUUAUGUCCGUCCAUUUAGUUUUAUUUAUAAAUGGUAAGCUAGAUUAGGUUAAUGACUAAUAUACAAAAUUCAAUUUUGAUCACAUCUAAAUCCAAUUAUAAGGAAGUUUUAAAAACUGCAUUCAGGUAGAGAAGACUAAGUUUUGCAAUUUUUUUAUUUUUUUUAAAAAAUAAAUCGUGUCGAUUUUAAAUUGUAUGCCAUUAUAGCGGGUCAUAGCUUUACUGUAAAUAUAAAAAAAAAAACAAUUUUUAUAUUUAUAGAAAACAUCCUUUGUCUCCUGCCCUUAACUGAUAAAGCAUUCCCUUGAAUGAUCAUAUGAUUAAACCCACUUAUGCAAAAUGUACCAACACACAAAUUAUCCAAAAUAUGUUAUUAAUAUUUAACACGCAAUUUAUCUAAUUGUGAUAAUUCAGCAAAGAUCUAUUUAUACGACACAGAAAGUAUGUGUGAAUCGAUCCAAACAUUUUUAAACAUAGAAGUAUUCAGUUGUAACAUAUCCACUAAUGUUUAAAAGUAGUCAGUACAUUUUGGCAUAAUUCGGUGUAAUUAAUAUUUAUUAUAAAUACCAAAAAUCGAUACCCCACCCAAGAAAAUGUACUUUUAGUUUGUGAUAAGGUCCGUCCAUUAGAUAAGGAAGUUAUUUUAUUGUCGCCCUAAUUUGUUAUCUGUAAGGUACAGUCGGCACCAUAAAUGUAAGUCCAUGUGUAAAAAAUGAAAUGGUAAAUUUUAUUUUUUUAAAAAUAAAUGUGUAAGUUUAUAGCUUUGUGUUAUUUAGUAAGUCAUUAUGUCAUGUGGAGAGGUAGUUCCUACUGGGUGAUAGUUGUUAUACGAGAGCCUUUCUGAUUUGGUACCACCGUAAUGUUUACAAGUAGUAUUGUUUAGGCAUA